AUUGAACGCUGGCGGCAGGCCUAACACAUGCAAGUCGAGCGAGAAAGGUCUUCGGACUGAGUACAGCGGCGGACGGGUGAGUAAAGCGUAGGAAUCUACCUGGUAGUGGGGGAUAACUUGGGGGAAACUCAAACUAAUACCGCAUACGCCUACGGGGAAAGCGGGGACCGUUCGGGCCUCGCCCUACUCAGAUGAGCCUGCGUAGGAUUAGCUAGUUGGUGAGGUAAAGGCUCACCAAGGCGACGAUCCUUAGCUGGUCUGAGAGGAUGAUCAGCCACACUGGGACUGAGACACGGCCCAGACUCCUACGGGAGGCAGCAGUGGGGAAUAUUGCGCAA
rnacentral:rRNA from 1 species